rnacentral:rRNA from 1 species
GUGGGGAAUCUUGCGCAAUGGACGAAAGUCUGACGCAGCGACGCCGCGUGGGUGAUGAAGGCCUUCGGGUUGUAAAGCCCUGUGGGGAGAGACGAAUAAGUUUCGGUUAAUACCCGAAGCGAUGACGGUACCUCCUUAGCAAGCACCGGCUAACUCUGUGCCAGCAGCCGCGGUAAGACAGAGGGUGCAAACGUUGUUCGGAAUUACUGGGCGUAAAGCGCGUGUAGGCGGCCAAGCAAGUCGGAUGUGAAAGCCCUCGGCUCAACCGGGGAAGUGCACUCGAAACUGCAUGGCUAGAGUCUCGGAGAGGAUCGUGGAAUUCUCGGUGUAGAGGUGAAAUUCGUAGAUAUCGAGAGGAACACCGGUGGCGAAGGCGGCGAUCUGGACGAUGACUGACGCUGAGACGCGAAAGCGUGGGGAGCAAACAGG